rnacentral:ncRNA from 2 species
AAAAGACGCCAUCUUUUAGGUGCCCCAAUCGGGGAGAAUAGGGAAGCCGGUUUAAGUCCGGCACGGUCCCGCCACUGUAAAGUGGAGCUUGGCCCAUUAACCACUAUCGGUAUUAUUCUGAUGGGAAGGGGAUGCCAAGCUUUGAAGCUGAGUCAGGAGACCUGCCUAAAGAUAAAGUAUACU